rnacentral:rRNA from 1 species
CCUACGGGAGGCAGCAGUGGGGAAUAUUGCACAAUGGGCGAAAGCCUGAUGCAGCCAUGCCGCGUGUAUGAAGAAGGCCUUCGGGUUGUAAAGUACUUUCAGUUGUGAGGAAGGCNGNGUAGUUAAUA